AACGAACGCUGGCGGCAUGCCUAACACAUGCAAGUCGAACGCUCCGCAAGGGGAGUGGCGAACGGGUGAGUAACGCGUGGGAACCUGCCCAGUAGUUGGGGAUAACCGCGGGAAACUGCGGCUAAUACCGAAUACGCCCUAAGGGGAAAGAUUUAUCGCUAUUGGAGGGGCCCGCGUCGGAUUAGCUGGUUGGUGAGGUAACGGCUCACCAAGGCGACGAUCCGUAGCUGGUCUGAGAGGAUGAUCAGCCACACUGGGACUUAGACACGGCCCAGACUCCUACGGGAGGCAGCAGUGGGGAAUAUUGGACAAUGGGGGCAACCCUGAUCCAGCAAUGCCGCGUGAGUGAUGAAGGCCUUAGGGUUGUAAAGCUCUUUUACGGGACGAUGAUGACGGUACCCGGAGAAUAAGCCCCGGCUAACUUCGU
rnacentral:rRNA from 1 species